rnacentral:sRNA from 1 species
AAAAUAGACUUCAGUAACAAAAUACUUGAAGCGUGUUUGAAUGACAAAACCAUAAUAAGGUCGACCAUCCUCGCUUCUUCAUGGAGUGAAUGGUUGAACUUUCUUCUCUUUUUAAUUGUUUAUUUGGAGCUACAUGAAAAAAAAUUCCAUUUAUAGCCUUUGCCAAAAUUCUACCCCAAUCGUAUGCCAUUUGAAUGUGCAGGGUAUUCUGUGAAGCAACAUAUGAAUGUAUGUGAUUGUAUGCCUAAUUUUUUUUUAUUGAAAAACAAUUUUGAUCACUGGACAUUUUUGCAUGUAUCAUUUGAUUUAAGUAAACUUUUCUACUGUUUAAGGCAAGUUUUAAUACAUUUUGUACUAAACGUUUGUUUUCCCUCAAACCAUAUCUUACAAAUAAUCUUGGCAUUUCAAAGAGAGAAAUGUCCUGGUUGUGUUGAAUAUUGAAGAAAUGAAAGUUGUUGGGUUAUUGCAUGAAUUUAUUGUUGGAUCUCUUAAACUUUGAAUGAAAGAAAAACAUGUGUUUAUAUAAUGCAUGUAUUUAUUAGAAUAUGAAUAAAAGAGGCAAACAC